AUUUGUUAUUAGGUAAUCAAAAUUUAUUAUGUAUGUACUUACAUGAGUUUAAAAAUGAAUUAAUAUGAGUACUAAGUUGGUUUCUCACCUCCAAUUCAUGGAAAUGAAACAAUUUUUUCAAAUAAGUAAGUAAGAGAAAAAUUAAAUUAGUGAAUAAUUUGUCAAUGCAGAAUUAAUUUCAGUUGAGUGUUGUCACUGAAAUCUGUUGGUUAUUUUUACCUAUUCACUUGACUGUAAGUAUGUAUUCUAAUUACAUAUCAAAAAAAGUAUAAAAUGCUGAUUGAAAGAAAUCUGUACAAAUUUGUAUUGUUGAAAAGUAGAUAUAGAUAGUUUUCCAUAUCUAUGAAAAUUACAUUUCUUAUCAGGAUUAAACUAAAUCAUUCCGUGUGAAUAUUAUUUUUAUAAUGAUGGUGAUCCUGAUGGUUUAUUUAUUUGAAAUCACUCACCUUCACUUGCAUAAUAUCCAAGAUGAAACUUGUAAUCACUUUUUCUUUACACUAGGUAAUCAAAUUUCAAAACCCAUACAAUAUGUACAGGGUGCCCAGAAAUAUCGAGUACCCCUAAAAAAGUUUUCUACCAAAAUACUUUGGUUGGUCACAGUGAAUGAUAAUAAUGAUAGCACAUGAUUGGUUGUUGGACUGGAGAGAUAACAUUCCACCAAUCAUAUGCAUCUAUUUCACAUUGCCAAACUAUUUUUUUAAUGAAACACUUUCUUUGGGGUAGGUACUCGAUAUUUCUGGGCACCCUGUAUAUGAAUAGAUAGGAGAAUAAAUUCCAUUCACCUAGUAGGUACCUAACAUCAAAUUUGAAUAAAAACACUUGGUCAGAAUCAAGCUAAGUAGGUAAAUAUUUUUAAAUAGGUAGGUAACUACAUAAUCUUCUCCUAGAUUUAUUAGUUACAUGAGUUUAAAAAGUAAUCAGCAAGAGACCAUUUAAAAAAUUCAUAAUCAAGUAUUUGUUUCAAAAAAUAGGGAAAAUAUAAAUAAAAUACGGUUUGAAUAAAAACAUUGCACAGUAAAAUUACAAAUUGAAAAAAAUUCAAAAAAUUACUUAGGUACUCCUCACAUUGGGAUGAACCCUGGAGUUUUGUAAUGAAGUUUCCAUGAACCACAAAGCAUAAACCAAAUUCUUGUCCAUACUCGUUCUCAAUCAACUCAGUUCAUAAGUUUAAGAGGUUGGACCAGAUUUUUAAGGAAAAAAGAAGUUUCCAUUGCACACAAUUUUAAAAUAAAAAUUUGUUGUUUGGUAAAUGUAAUAGUGGAUCUCAAAAUGUACUCUGUACUCACAUGAGUAUGAAAAUGAAUUUGAUAUGAGUAAACUUCAUUUUCAUCUGAAUUCAGUUUCAAGGAAAUGAAACAAUUUUUUCAAAUAUAAAGAGAAAAUAAAAUUAGGUAUUGAAUACUUACUUAAUUUGUCAAUGCAGAAUUAUUUUUUAGUUGAGUUCUCUGAACUCUGUUGGUUGUGUUUACCUAAACACUCGAUUAAGUACAUUACCUAUAUUGAAAAAAAGAUGUUUAAAAUUUGGAUUGAAAAAAUUUGUACAAAUUCAUAUUAUUAAAAAGCAAGUAUUAUUAGUUUUCUAAAUGAAAAUGACAUUUUUAUUUUCUUGUUACAAUCAAACUAAAUAAAAUAAUUUUGUGUGAAUAUUUUUUUCCCUGAUGGUAAUACUGAUAGUAUGUGUAUACUUAUUAUUUGAAAUCACUUACCUUCACUAGCAUAAUAUCCUAGGUAAAACUUAUAAUUACUUAUCCUUUGCACCAGGUUAUCAAAUUUCAAACACACAAUAUAUAAACAGAUAGGAGAAUACAUUCCAUUCAUCUAGUAACAUCAAAUUUCAAUAAAAACACUGCCACAAUCAAGCAAAGCAAUCUAGUUUCAUGGUAGAUAACACUCUACAUUGAAUGCAAAUCAAGUUCAAUCAACUGGUAAUCAAAAGAAAGAGAGAGAGAGUGUGUGAGUGCUAAAAACAAGUUCAACACAGUCUGCACCUCUGCCAAUAUGCUUUGAGCUAUCUAGCUGGUCAUCUUCUACACCAGGGUAGAUAAAUCAGGUGCUUUUUGGAACAAAAUCGACAGUUAAAAACAGGAUGCAAAGUAAAACACCCAUUUAAUCCUUAACAAUUGCAUGUUAGCAUAAGUUUGUCACUCAAAACAGGAUGCAUUAUAGCAUAAUUUACAAGUACCUCGCAUUCGUGUAAAAUAAGUUGCCUAUUGAGUCUGAUGCGUAUGCGCAGUGUAGGAUUCAGUUUCAAUACAUUUUCAAAGUUUACUUGUGCUCACAUACCAGCAAUAUCAUUUGCAUAAAAUGCAAAUCUCUGUCCUACCAUAACACUGUUUAUUUACACAGUUACCUUUUUACCAUGACCAUGACCACCGUCGAGUGUCUACGUAUCUGUAGUUUUGAUGUAAGUAAGAUAAUUUAUUCAUACAGACACACGUUUUAAUAAAGAAGGGAAGGAGAGUAUGUAAUUGAAAAACAAACAAGAUAAAUAUUUCAAUCAAGUAGUUUAAUAUUUUUUACAUACAUACAUACUUAGUAUAUGUGUACAUAUUACAAUAAGUGUAGAUAGGUGAUUAAUACAUAAUGUAUUUUCAAUUUUGAAGUGAAGUGAAAUAAGUACAUUUAUCCAAUGUGUGUGUUGAUUUUUUUUCAAAUUAUUCAGUUAAAUCUAUGUGAGCGGCAAUUCUUCCCUAUUGACAUACCUGAUCAAAUUUCUUGUGGAAACGUCUUUUAUAAAAGACCUGAUUACAUUGAGUACAUUCCGGAUUUUGAAUGUUCGCCACAGUUGUAAUUGUAUUAGUAUUGAUGGUAUUGGAGGUGGUAGCUCCAGAGUUGGCUGGUUCUUCAACAGUGACAGUGGUAGUUGUGGGUACAGUUAGCAUAGUCUUUAAUAAAUGUCUUGAUUGAGGUCCUGGAAUAUUCGAGGAGGAGGAGGAGGAGGAAGUUGUCGGCUCAGCAUUGAACUUCAAAUCAUUGAGCCACUUCUUAAACUUCUGCACAUGAUUUUUGGUACACGCAUAAUAUGCUUGAGCAGUGUUACUAGGUUUGUGUGCAUCAAUUACUAAGCAUUUUUCGAAGUCAACGUUCUCAGGCAGUUCCUUAGCCCUAGGACAGAUAGGACUCAAGUCCACAAUGAUGUUCUUACCCAGCAACCACUCCAGAGCAUAUUUUUUUGGGCUCCUUUCUCAUAUACUUUAGUGGUGUUUGCAGUCAUUUUUUUAAGUAGGUGAACAGCAAGAUCCAAAGUCCAGACUCCCUCAUUCCAUGCGAUUCUGUGAAGGUUGUCCUUUAACCACAAGUUAUAAAAUUAUGCAUUUUUGUCCAAUUUUUCGAAUUCAUAGGGUGAUAAAAUUGUUAGGUUAGUUACAGUCUCUUCAGGGUUUCUAGAUACAAUUGCAAUUUCUUUGAUUAUAAAAUUGGCAUGAUUGUCACGAAAUGUCUACAUAUAAAAAAAAAAAAAAAAAAAAAAAAAAAACAGAUUGAAAUAUUUAGUAGCUGAUAGCAAUUUGUAUGUACCUACGUAGUUAUUGAAAUAUUUAGUAGCUGAUAGCAAUUUGUAUGUACCUACGUAGUUAUGUUUUAAUUAAAAAUUACCAACCUGCAUAUCCAGGAUAAAUUCCCUCUGCAGGACACUUGUAGGUGGCACAAAUAUUCUGGGCUUUGUUACUGGUCUGCUGUAUGGAAGUAUUGAUGAAUUGACAGAUGAACCAAAGCCUCUGGACCCUCUUUCAGUAGGCGGCAAUUUCUAUUUCAAAAAAACAUUAAAAAUUUCAAUUUUUUAAAAAUGGGUAGGUAGGUACUUAUUUUGUUAAUUUAUGAAAUAGAUAAAUCAAGUUGAACUUACAAUUGCCUGACAUAAUGUCAGAUGAUAAAUCCGUUCAACAAUGAGCUGCGCUAUUUUAUCUCCCUUAUGGAAGGUAAGCAAUUGAUUGGAAAAAUUAAACAUUAUUACACAGACAUUACCUCAAAAAUCUGCAUCAAUUACACCUCCUGUGUAAAAAACAAAAUUGAUUUCUCAGAUUUUCACGACAAUUUUUUUUGAAUUUUAGUGAAUUGGUGAAAAAUUGUAGGGAAAAAAUUUAAGAUUAAAAAAAAAACUUGAACAACUCCAUAGGUAGGUAUGUACUUUUUGUUAAUGUGAAUCGACACACAAAUUAAGAGCGAAUGGGUGGGUCCUGACUCGAGUAUAUUUUUUCCAAAUAUUUCAAAUGAUUCAUCCUCAUAUAAAAUUCUCUGAUGAAAAACUUGACGUGAGUCUAAUUUUUUGUGAGCACGCAAUUAGGUUGUUGUCAACUAAUUUUCACUUUUCCUUCCUCAUCUUUUUCUUACCAUGAAAAAAAAACAUACCAUAGGUAUUUUAUCAUUUUCAUACACCUUUGAAAUAGGUAAUGUAAAGGAAAAUUUCAUCUUGUGGUGAAUAUCUUCCUUUAAAGGUUACUUGGUGCGCUUUUUCAUAUCCAAACAGUUUACGUGUAAAAUUAUUAGAAAACACAUAUGCUUUUUUUGUGCCACAUCCACGUCGUCUUCUUACAGUACUUGUAUUUAAAUUUGAAAAUGUUUCCGAAAUAAUUGUCAACGUGCUUGUAAAAUUGGAUGGAUCAAGAGUUAACAAUGUGGAGGAAGAACUUGAAUAAAUUGGGGUAGUGGUGAUUUCACUGGUGGUGUUGACGACAGGUAAAAAUGUUGAUGACAAUGACGUUGAUUUUUCAGGUAUUGAAAUUUCAGAGUUGAAACGAGUAUAAUUGCUGGUGCUGUUGGUGACAGUAGAGGUUGCGGGGGAGGUGGUAGUGGUGAUAAUAGUAACAAUAUUCAUUCUUUCAGACAUUGAUAAGGGUUGAAUUGAUUUGGUAGAUUGAUCUGUGCUGGUUUUCAGUGUUGAAAAGUUUGAUUUUUCAUAAAUUAUAUCUUGGUUUGGUAUUUCUAGAAUAAAUUUUGAAAUCAGGAGCACAUUCAAAAGAGUGAAACUGUAGACACUCGGCGGUGGUCAUGGUCAUGGUAAAAAGGUAACUGGGUAAAUAAACAAUGUUAUGGUAGGACAGAGAUUUGCAUUUUAUGCAAAUGAUAUUGCUGGUAUGUGAGCACAAGUAAACUUUGAAAAUGUAUUGAAACUGAAUCCUACACUGCGCCUACGCAUCAGACGCGAUAGGCAACUUAUUUUACACGAAUGCGAGGUACAUGUAAAUUGUGCUAUAAUGCAUCCUGUUUCGAGUGACAAAUUUAUGCUAACAUGCAAUUGUUAAGGAUUAAAUGGGUGUUUUACUUUGCAUCCUGUUUUAAACUGUCGAUAUUGUUCCAAAAAACGCCUGAUGUAUCUACUCACUGGUGUUUGUGUGCAAACUAUUCGCAAUGCAUUAUUUAUGUGCCUUCCUAGUCACUUAUCAAUGUAUGUGGCCUGUGCCAAUUCACGUUUUGUGCCAAAAACUGUAAAAUAUGACAACCCCUGUGUUCUAUGCCUAUUCCUCAGAUGAAAAUCCCACAUAAUGAUAGAAAAUGUCUAAGAGUUUCUAAUCUUCACUUCACCACUAGUAUAAUAUGUAAUCAGUUGUGCUGUCUAUGAUGCUACAUAAAUGUAGGCACCUGUAAUAAAACAGUUUUGUCAUUAUUAAUUUUAUAUCUCAGAGGUUGCAUUACAGCUUUUCUGAUGAAGAUAGAGUGGGGAUAUAGGGAGCCUGACUUUUCCUUGUAUUGUGACAGAGAUUUCGUAAAAAAAAAGGUCCAUUAAAGCAGAGGCUUCUAAAAAUUAUUUUUAUAUGUAUUAUUUUAUAUUUUUGUUUUGUUAUUUUCUAAGUUUGCUUUUUUUCCAGAAAUCGUAUUUUUUCUUCAAGUUUAGAAUUUUUGAUUAACUAUAUUUAAAGACUUUAUGUUUGUAAUAAAAAUAAAUAGUUAUUGAAUAUUUAA